rnacentral:rRNA from 1 species
GGGCCGUUUUCCGGAUUAUUGGGCGUAAGAGCUCGUAGGCGGUUUGUCGCGUCUGCCGUGAAAGUCCGGGGCUCAACUCCGGAUCUGCGGUGGGUACGGGCAGACUAGAGUGAUGUAGGGGAGACUGGAAUUCCUGGUGUAGCGGUGAAAUGCGCAGAUAUCAGGAGGAACACCGAUGGCGAAGGCAGGUCUCUGGGCAUUAACUGACGCUGAGGAGCGAAAGCAUGGGGAGCGAACAGGAUUAGAUACCCUGGUAGUCCAUGCCGUAAACGUUGGGCACUAGGUGUGGGGGACAUUCCACGUUUUCCGCGCCGUAGCUAACGCAUUAAGUGCCCCGCCUGGGGAGUACGGCCGCAAGGCUAAAACUCAAAGGAAUUGACGGGGGCCCGCACAAGCGGCGGAGCAUGCGGAUUAAUUCGAUGCAACGCGAAGAACCUUACCAAGGCUUGACAUGAACCGGUAAUACCUGGAAACAGGUGCCCCGCUUGCGGUCGGUUCACAGGUGGUGCAUGGUCGUCGUCAGCUCGUGUCGUGAGAUGUUGGGUUAAGUCCCGCAACGAGCGCAACCCUCGUUCCAUGUUGCCAGCGCGUAAUGGCGGGACUCAUGGGAGACUGCCGGGGUCAACUCGGAGGAAGGUGGGGACGACGUCAAAUCAUCAUGCCCCUUAUGUCUUGGGCUUCACGCAUGCUACAAUGGCCGGUACAAAGGGUUGCGAUACUGUGAGGUGGAGCUAAUCCCAAAAAGCCGGUCUCAGUUCGGAUUGGGGUCUGCAACUCGACCCCAUGAAGUCGGAGUCGCUAGUAAUCGCAGAUCAGCAACGCUGCGGUGAAUACGUUCCCGGGCCUUGUACACACCGCCCGUCAAGUCACGAAAGUCGGUAACACCCGAAGCCGGUGGCCCAACCCUUGUGGGGGGAGCCGUCGAAAGUGGGACUGGCGAUUGGGACUAAGUCGUAACAAGGUAAC